rnacentral:rRNA from 1 species
CCUACGGGUGGCAGCAGUGAGGAAUAUUGGUCAAUGGACGCAAGUCUGAACCAGCCAUGCCGCGUGAAGGAAGACGGCUCUAUGAGUUGUAAACUGCUUUUGUACGGGGAUAAAUCCCGAUACGUGUAUCGUGUUGAAAGUAUCUUACGAAUAAGGAUCGGCUAACUCCGUGCCAGCAGCCGCGGUAAUACGGAGGAUUCAAGCGUUAUCCGGAUUUAUUGGGUUUAAAGGGUGCGUAGGCGGUUCGAUAAGUCAGAGGUGAAAUCGUGGGGCUCAACUGCGACACUGCAUCUGAUACUGUCGGGCUAGAGUUUAGUUGAGGUAGGCGGAAUGUAUGGUGUAGCGGUGAAAUGCAUAGAGAUCAUACAGAACACCGAUUGCGAAGGCAGCUUACCAAACUACGACUGACGUUGAGGCACGAAAGCGUGGGGAGCAAACAGGAUUAGAUACCCCUGUAGUC